rnacentral:rRNA from 1 species
GACGAACGCUGGCGGCGCGCUUAACACAUGCAAGUCGAACGGAAAGGCCUGCUUUCCCUUGUGGAUUGCGGGUACUCGAGUGGCGAACGGGUGAGUAACACGUGAGUGAUCUGCCCCCAACUUGGGUAUAAGCCUGGGAAACUGGGUCUAAUUCCCGAUAGGGCUGCAGGGUGGUGCCUGUGGUGGAAAACGAUUUUCUAGUGGUUGGGGAUGAGCUCGCGGCCUAUCAGCUUGUUGGUGGGGUAAUGGCCUACCAAGGCGGCGACGGGUAGCCGGCCUGAGAGGGUGGACGGCCACAUUGGGACUGGGAUACGGCCCAGACUCCUACGGGAGGCAGCAGUGGGGAAUAUUGCACAAUGGGCGGAAGCCUGAUGCAGCGACGCCGCGUGGGGGAUGACGGCCUUCGGGUUGUAAACUCCUUUCGACCGCGAGGAAGCCACCUGGUUGGAAGGGUGGUGACGGUAGUGGUAGAAGAAGCACCGGCUAACUACGUG